AUGUUUCUCCAGGAAUCAUUUGCUUACUUAGUAAUAUUCCUAUUCAUAUUAUACGAUGAUAUGCUUUCCUUUUGUGAUCAUUGUUGUUGUUUGCGCGGGCUAGGUGUGGAUAACAUCGGGCUUUACCAAAUACAUUUGCCUGACCGUUAUGUUCCCCUAUUUGGAGAGAUGGAAUACAAUCAAAGCUGCAAGUACGCGUUGUACAGAUAG
rnacentral:rRNA from 1 species